ensembl:lncRNA
GCCAAAACAAAAACACAGCUGAGAACUCUUACUAUACGAAACCCCAUGCUGUAAUAAGUGUGUGUGUGUGUGUGUGUGUAAGAGAGAGGCCAUGUACGUGCUUAAGAGAUGCUCAUCUUUGUGUAAAGCUACGAGGUACAAAACAAGAACCGUAACUAAAGUACCGUUUUUAAAGCGUGCCUUAUGUUACCCGGAUAAGGACUGACGAGACUACUAAAUGCUCUUUUCAAACCUUCGAGGCUGAGAGAAAGAGAAAAAAAAAAACAACUCCCACACACUAAAAACUCCUACAAACAACUCAGAAGAUGGACAAUAGCAGGAGGAAAAUGUACAAGAAGCACACCGAACCAUGCCAGUGUCAAUAUAACACCGGCCGUGAUGGGAAAAGCUCAGGAUGAACCGAUCGACCGAGCCGAAGCAGAGCCAAACUCAGCCGAUCCAUCUCACAUGAAGUGCAGCAAACUUGCAUCAUACGCUUUAUUUACCGAGCAAUACUUACAUCUAUUUCUGGUGGCCAGCAUUGACACAAACACUCUCCUGCCUCGAACGAUAAAUUUACUGACUCUUUUUUUUUUUUUUUUUUUUUUCCAGCAAACAUACAGAGCUAGUUAGCAAAAUCAACAAGCCAAGACACUGCUAUGAUUUAAACAGGAGAUAAGUGCCAUGAUAAAUAUUACUUCUCUGCUGUAAAAUCUCCUCACAUCCACUCAGACCGUUCCACACUGAGAGAAACCUGUACCCCCACCC